UACGUAGGGGGCAAGCGUUGUCCGGAAUCAUUGGGCGUGAAGCGCGUGUAGGCGGCUUGGUAAGUCUGCUCUGAAAGCCCGGGGCUCAACCCUGGGAGGCGGGUGGAUACUGCUGAGCUCGAGUCCGGAAGAGGCGAGUGGAAUUCCUGGUGUAGCGGUGAAAUGCGCAGAUAUCAGGAGGAACACCAAUGGCGAAGGCAGCUCGCUGGGACGGUACUGACGCUGAGACGCGAAAGCGUGGGGAGCAAACAGG
rnacentral:rRNA from 1 species